rfam:Aedes albopictus isolate Foshan contig118556, whole genome shotgun sequence.
UGCCCAGCAACUCCUAUCCCUGCCUCCGCGUGGUACUGGCUGGAAACUACGAGCAACCUUAAGGAAGAUCGGGUAACUAAUCCCGGUGGGAACUUUGAUUGUAGGCUGACAGGGAAGA